rnacentral:rRNA from 1 species
UACGAAGGGGGCUAGCGUUGCUCGGAAUCACUGGGCGUAAAGCGCACGUAGGCGGAUCUUUAAGUCAGGGGUGAAAUCCUGGAGCUCAACUCCAGAACUGCCCUUGAUACUGGGGACCUUGAGUCCGGAAGAGAUGAGUGGAACUCCGAGUGUAGAGGUGAAAUUCGAUAGAUAUUCGCAAGAACACCAGUGGCGAAGGCGGCUAACUGGUCCGGUUCUGACGCUGAGGCGCGAAAGCGUGGGGGAGCAAACAGG